UCUACCUUCACAGAGGGAUAGCCCAGAGAAUUUGGAUUAAUACCUCAUAGUAUAGCAGUUUCGCAUGAAACCACUAUUAAAGUCACAACGGUGAAAGAUGAGCAUGCGUCCCAUUAGCUAGUUGGUAAGGUAACGGCUUACCAAGACAAUGAUGGGUAGGGGGUCCUGAGAGGGAGAUCCCCCACACUGGUACUGAGACACGGACCAGACUCCUACGGGAGGCAGCAGUGAGGAAUAUUGGUCAAUGGGCGCAAGCCUGAACCAGCCAUGCCGCGUGCAGGAAGACGGUCCUAUGGAUUGUAAACUGCUUUUAUACAGGAAGAAACCCUCCCACGUGUGGGAGCUUGACGGUACUGUAGGAAUAAGGAUCGGCUAACUCCGUG
rnacentral:rRNA from 1 species